rnacentral:lncRNA from 1 species
AGAUACUCUUGGAGGUUUCUCGGGAGACGCAGCCGUUCCGAAAUACCAGCCUUUUGGUCGCUGGCCCCUGACCUAAAGUUUCCAAAAGCUCCUGACCAUCUCUCGGGAGGUUCCGAAGGGCUCUGGAUACUGGCGCGGCAUUUCCGACGCCGCCUUCGAAGCGGAAGCUGUGGGCAGACUUCGGCCACCGUUCCAUUGCCGCUUCGGGGUCACUUGCAGGAAGAUCUGGACUCGGCUCCCCGGAUCCUCGACCAUUCAUGGCGCCCCCAGUCGUCCGCACAGCUUGCCGUCCACCGCCGUGACUGCGGCGCUGGAACCCCGGCCCGGCAUCUGCUUUUCCGUGCCUGGAGCCUUGUCUCUCCGCACUAGCGCUGCACUGGCCCCUUGUCUCUGUGACAGGCGAAGAAAGAUCCCUGGACCGGGAUUAGGAGACGCGGGUUCUAGUUGCCACCUUGCCAACUGCUGGACAUCCUUGGGCAAACCACUUGGGCUCCAUUUUGCCAUUUGUUGAAUGAGAUUCCCCAAAAGCCCCUGACGUGCUGCCGCCGCCCCUUCUCCUCGAGGCAGUCCCCUGCCCUUCCCUUCUGCUGCUUACACUACCCUAUCACCACCCCUCAAUCUCUAUCUUCCUCUGCACGUCCCUUGCCCCUUCUAGUCCGCCACCUCUCUUUAGAUUUCCCGUUUUCAUUUCCACCUCUCCCGCCGAACGCCUCCUCUGCCCACCUUCCAGAGAGGCCUGGGUCUGGUACACGCUUUUCCACUGACCACCUGUGUGAUUCUCAGCAAGGCUCUCGGCCGCCUGCGCCCCACCCUCGUCCCCUUGCAGGGUUGAUCCGGUGAGACAGAAAAGGCUUUGAGAGCUGGUUCUGUGAAGAGUACAUGAAAUUUUGGCUACUUCUUUCAGGACUUAUCAGGUCUUACCAGGUCUGCACAAACCACGACGUCCUGGAAAAACAGCACAUGUAGAGAUGGGGUAUCACCGUCUUAGCCAGGAUGGUCUACGAUCUCCUGACCUCGGGAUCCGCCCGCCUCGGCCUCCCAAAGUGCUGGGAUUA